rnacentral:rRNA from 1 species
UAUGUGAUCGUCUCUCGCAUAUCAAUAAGCGGAGGAAAAGAAACUAACAAGGAUUCCCCUAGUAACGGCGAGUGAAGCGGGAAGAGCUCAAAUUUGAAACUCUUAAAGGGUUUCCCUUUACGAAUUGUAGUUUAAAGAAGUGUUUUCUGUUGAGGUUUUGGUAAAAGUUCUUUGGAAUAGGACAUCAUAGAGGGUGAGAAUCCCGUAUUUGACCUUUACUUUCAACUUUGUGAUACACUUUCAAAGAGUCGGAUUGUUUGGGAAUGCAGUCCAAAAUGGGUGGUAAAUUUCAUCUAAAGCUAAAUAUUGGCGAGAGACCGAUAGCGAACAAGUACCGUGAGGGAAAGAUGAAAAGAACUUUGAGAAGAGAGUUAAACAGUACGUGAAAUUGUCAAAAGGGAAGCGUUUGACACCAGUGUUGUCUUUCUGAAAAUCAAUUAAAGAACUGUUUAUGCUAAGUUGUUUAGACUUUAUCAGCUAACUGUUUAGUUUUGAGCUUUUCUUUAAUGCACUUUUCAGUUAACAAGUCAACAUCAAUUUCUUUUGCUGUAAAAAAGCUUGAGGAAGGUGGCUUGAGAUUCGUCUUAAGUGUUUAUAGCCUCUUGCCUAUGCAGUCGGAGAGAUUGAGGUCUGCAGCGUAGAUCCUUCGGGGCUAAAUGCAUUUGUGCUAAGUUAUAGCAUUUUAUAGACAACUUGUUGACUAUGAUUUGUCUUGUAGCUUACUCGCUUAUGUUAUUUUACCUACGCUUAGGAUGUUGAUCUACAGAGCGAGAGU